rnacentral:rRNA from 1 species
ACGGGUGAGUAACGCGUGGGAAUCUACCGAGCCCUGCGGAAUAGCUCCGGGAAACUGGAAUUAAUACCGCAUACGCCCUACGGGGGAAAGAUUUAUCGGGGUUUGAUGAGCCCGCGUUGGAUUAGCUAGUUGGUGGGGUAAAGGCCUACCAAGGCGACGAUCCAUAGCUGGUCUGAGAGGAUGAUCAGCCACAUUGGGACUGAGACACGGCCCAAACUCCUACGGGAGGCAGCAGUGGGGAAUAUUGGACAAUGGGCGCAAGCCUGAUCCAGCCAUGCCGCGUGAGCGAUGAAGGCCCUAGGGUUGUAAAGCUCUUUCAACGGUGAAGAUAAUGACGGUAACCGUAGAAGAAGCCCCGGCUAACUUCGUGCCAGCAGCCGCGGUAAUACGAAGGGGGCUAGCGUUGUUCGGAAUUACUGGGCGUAAAGCGCACGUAGGCGGAUAUUUAAGUCAGGGGUGAAAUCCCGGGGCUCAACCUCGGAACUGCCUUUGAUACUGGGUAUCUUGAGUAUGGAAGAGGUAAGUGGAAUUGCGAGUGUAGAGGUGAAAUUCGUAGA